rnacentral:lncRNA from 1 species
CCUCCCCGAGCCCCGCUGCCUCCCGCCUCCCUCCUCCCCGGCGCCCGCCUCCCCGCGGCGUGCCCGCCUCCCUCCCUCCGUCCCCCGGCCGGCAGCCGGGCAGCGGGCGGGCGCUGCCGCCGGCCCCACAGCACCGCGGCCGGGCUGCGCGGAGCGGAGCGGAGCGGAGCGGGGCUGGCUGGGCGGGGAGGGAGGGAGGGAGGGGAGUGGAUGUGUGUGUGUGUGGAAAGAGCGGGGGGGGGCGAAGGGGGGGAAAUCAAAUAAAUAAAUAAGCUCCCCACCAAUAAGAGAGGCAGCGGCUGGCGAGCAGGCUGGGCUCGGCUGGGAGAGGUCCUCGCUCGGCUGCGUGUUUGUUUGUGUUGUGACCAGAGCCGCGAAGUUCAGAGCCCAAACGUGUUGCUCCGCUCCGCUCCACCUGCUCGGCCGGCGGGGGGGUGCCGCUUCGGCCGCCCCGCCGCCCUCCGGGGCCGAAGGACGGGAGAGGAGCGCGGGGCCGCGCCCGCCGCCCGCCCGCCUUCCCCUCAGCCACCGCCGGGGAGGCGACGGACAGGGAAACGCAGCUGCACACCUCGGGAUUUGUGAGGCCAGGUCGAAAGGCAGGCAAAUUUUGGCGUUUUGUCCGGUGAAAUCCUUUGCCGUCUGUUAGUGGUAUCCUUAGACCGGGCUGAUAAUUGUGCUCGAGGUGCAUGGCACUUGCUGCUUACUGCCUGAGUUUUAUGUCACUUUCCGGCACUUACGCUGAUUAGAAAUAGUCACUGCUCACUGUUGUGAAGACUGGACCGGAGAUAGUGUAGGAACACUCCUCUUGUCAUCCUUUACAAACUAAACAGUGAAUGUAGUCUCUUUUAUAGUAACAGCACACCAGCUUAUGCACUGCUCAGUAACAGUGAUGAAUUAAUCCAUUUCUGCAUGGUUAAACUUUAUUUUCUGAACUCCUUGUUCUCCAAAUCUCUCAUAUCUCUUGCCUAGCUUGAAAUUGUUCCGUGAGAAGCUCAGAUGAUAGCUGCAUAAACCUGUUGCAUUUGGUUUGAAAAGUUUUCUCAGUGUAAUGUGUAAUAAAGUUGGCAAAACAAGCA